rnacentral:rRNA from 1 species
GACGAACGCUGGCGGCGUGCUUAACACAUGCAAGUCUACGGGAAAAGGGUAGCAAUACUCUGAGCACAGUGGCGCACGGGUGCGUAACACGUAAGCAAUCUACCUUUGGAUGCGGAAUAACGUCGAGAAAUCGGCGCUAAUACCACAUAAUGCAGCGGCAUCGCAUGGUGAUGUUGUUAAAGUCUAUAUGACGUCUAAAGAUGAGCUUGCGGCUGAUUAGCUAGUUGGUGAGGUAAUGGCCCACCAAGGCAACGAUCAGUAGCUGGUCUGAGAGGAUGAUCAGCCACACUGGAACUGAGACACGGUCCAGACUCCUACGGGAGGCAGCAGUGAGGAAUAUUGGGCAAUGCCCGCAAGGGUGACCCAGCAACGCCGCGUGGAAGACGAAGGCCGUAAGGUUGUAAAUUCCUGUUAGAGGGGACGAAUAACUCCGAUCGACUCGGAGCUUGACGGUACCCUCAAAGAAAGCCCCGGCUAACUACGUGCCAGCAGCCGCGGUAAUACGUAGGGGGCAAGCGUUGUCCGGAUUUACUGGGUGUAAAGGGCGCGUAGGCGGAUUUGUAAGUCAGUGGUGAAAUCCUGCAGCUUAACUGCAGAACUGCCAUUGAUACUGCAAAUCUUGAGUGCGGAAGAGAGAGAUGGAAUUCCAGGUGUAGUGGUGAAAUACGUAGAUAUCUGGAAGAACACCAGUUGCGAAGGCGAUCUCUUGGUCCGUUACUGACGCUGAGGCGCGAAAGCGUGGGUAGCAAACAGGAUUAGAUACCCUGGUAGUCCACGCUGUAAACGAUGAAUACUAGGUGUUGGGCCGCAAGGUUCAGUGCCGCAGCUAACGCAUUAAGUAUUCCACCUGGGGAGUACGAUCGCAAGGUUG